UACGGAGGGUGCAAACGUUGCUCGAAAUUAUUGGGCGUAAAGCGCACGUAGGCGGACCAUCAAGUCGGAUGUGAAAUCCCUCGGCUUAACCGGAGGACGUGCACUCGAUACUGAUGGCCUUGAGUACGAAGAGGAUCGCGGAAUUCCCGGUGUAGAGGUGAAAUUCGUAGAUAGUCGGGAGGAACAACCAGUGGCGAAGGCGGCGAUCUGGGUCGAUACUGACGCUGAGGUGCGAAAGCGUGGGGAGCAACAGG
rnacentral:rRNA from 1 species